CAGGCCAACAUCCCCCUAACCCUUCCCCCUCCCCUUCUUUAUGGGUGUUCCCCUCCCCAUCCUCCCCCCAUUACCGUCCUCCCUACAACAAUCAUGUUCACUGGGGGUUCAGUCUUAGCAGGACCAAGGGCUUCCCCUUCCACUGGUGCCCUUACUAGGAUAUUCAUUGCUACCUAUGAGGUCAGAGUCCAGGGUCAGUCCAUGUAUAGUCUUUAGGUAGUGGCUUAGUCCCUGGAAGCUCUGGUUGCUUGGCAUUGUUGUACAUAUGGGGU
rnacentral:lncRNA from 1 species